CCUACGGGUGACAGCAGUGAGGAAUAUUGGUCAAUGGGCGAGAGCCUGAACCAGCCAAGUCGCGUGAAGGAUGACGGCCCUACGGGUUGUAAACUUCUUUUGUCAGGGAGCAAUUUGGUCCACGCGUGCGCUUAGCGAGAGUCUCUGAAGAAAAAGCAUCGGCUAACUCCGUGCCAGCAGCCGCGGUAAUACGGAGGAUGCGAGCGUUAUCCGGAUUUAUUGGGUUUAAAGGGUGCGUAGGCGGAAUUUCAAGUCAGCGGUAAAAAUUCGGGGCUCAACCCCGUCGUGCCGUUGAAACUGGUGGUCUUGAGUGGGCGAGAGGUAUGCGGAAUGCGUGGUGUAGCGGUGAAAUGCAUAGAUAUCACGCAGAACUCCGAUUGCGAAGGCAGCAUACCGGCGCCCAACUGACGCUGAAGCACGAAAGCGUGGGUAUCGAACAGGAUUAGAUACCCUAGUAGUC
rnacentral:rRNA from 1 species